rnacentral:lncRNA from 1 species
CUUGCAAAUACAUAUAUACUACUUGUCUACUUAUUGUUAUGCAUUCUAUUGUUAUUAAGUUGAUGUACUAUAUUGGCACAUUGAAAAAAUUAUUUCCUUUGAAAAGUAUGUUCAAUCUUCUUUUGCUUGUGCUUCGGGCCAACCCAAUCCCAUCUAGUUUUGACUCGGUAAUAAUCAAACCUGGAUAUUAUCAGGUUCAUUUAGAUCUAGGGUCAGGUCUGAGUCUAAAAAUUAACCCAAACAAUAUUUAGGGUUAAGUAAGGAACAAACAUAACUCAGCCCAACCCAACCCACACUCACCCCUGGAUUGAGAUAAAAGAUGCAUCAGAGAGGAUCCAGAGGACAAUAAAUUAAAUCAAUCAGUAGCCAAUGAAGCUUAAAAUAGAAAAGCUUCAUUUGAAGCUAUCAAAUCUAAAACAUCAAGAGGAUCAAAGUUGGAGGAUGAAACAUGAAACCACCUUGUGCUUCCCUAAGCUCCACUAUUAGAAAUCACCUUUGAGUUUCUUGCUUUGCCAUAGGACAACAAGAGGGUGUUGUCGCGAGCCAUGCCAUGGUUGCAGUCGAAAAAUCACCUCCAGCAAGAGAUAAGAGAUAGAGUCUAUCUCUCCUGUGAUUUGGGUCAAUGAGGAGAAAAUGGUUCUAGUUUUUGAAGAAUAAAUGAAAGAAAAUUAGUAUCUGCUUUGGGCUGACCCUAAUUGAAUAUAUGGGCUUAGCUUUAUCAAAGUCAUCUUAAACUCACCAUGCCGAUGCUAACUGAAAACUUAGGCUUGAUUCGCAUCCUUGUAUGCCAC